ACGAGGAUUAGCCUACUUCCGUUUUCACCCUUUCCCUGCACACUGUCUCAUUCUACAUGUAUUAAAAAUUGGUAUGUUACUGUUAUAUUAAUUCUGCACGAACCUACAUGUAGAGUUGUUGUAGGAUGGGUCCUUAUAUCUACUUAGCCUACAGACGCUAGGUCGUUUCGGGAAAAAGGACAGUUUCAAUAUUGGAUGUAUAUGCAAAUCACCCCGAAAAAGAUCAUGUAAUAACAAAAGAAAUUAUAAAAGAAAAAAAUGGAAGAAGAAAUGGCUGGAAAAAAUGAUGAUAGAGCAGCUUUUUCUUGUUACCCACCUCGGACGAUCAAGUUGGAAAGGGCUAUUGAUAUUGUGGAGACGUUUUCUCACAGAGCUUGCUUAUCAGACAAAGACUAUUUAACUACAUCAGAAAGAUAAAGACAGUUGGAAUGGCUAUUCAUAUUGUGGAAACUUUUCUCACGGAGCUCGAUAAUCAGGCAAAAUGCUGGAACACCAUUGAAAGAGUAUUUGCUGUAUGAUAACAACAAGAAAACCCAAGCAUCAAUUUAUUUUAUACUUCUGGGAAAGAAUGCAUUUGACCCAAUUUUUAAAUAUUUAUUUUUUGUUAUUAAUGUUAAAUUUUCUUCCAAAACACAAUUAGAUUUUAAUUCUCUUCAGAAAUGUAUGUAUAAUAUAGCAAGUAAAGUGACAUAUAAAUCAUAAAGUAUUUAAUAGGCAUUACUAGAAACCAAAUGUAGAUCAAAUACACCCAGAAUUACAAAAAACCUUGACCUACAUAAAGGUGACUUUCCCUUGCUUAUGAAAUGAAAUACGGUUUAGUAUCCUACUUUUCUGUGUUCUUAGAGUGAUUCUGCCCUACACCCUACUCUUAUAUCAAAUAUUUCAACUGUCAAGGGUUCUUUAACGGGAACCCGGGGGGGCAAUGAUUAACACGCACACAUUUGAUCAGAAAGUCUGUCAUUGAGUCAAAUAAUUCAAUUGUCAAGGGUUCUUCUAAGUGACCGCAGUGGGGGUGGUUUCGAUUCCGGGGUUGGGGGAGGGGGUGGUGGAUGGCCGAAUGGUAAGCACGUGCGUGCUGUAUCAUACGGCCUGUCAUUGAGUCAACUGGCGUGGUUUUGAAUCCCCGGUUGUACGUGACAAGGAGUAGGGUCGCCUGCCCAAUCUUGUGGGUUUUCUCCGGGACCUCCGGUUUCCUCCCACUGCUAAAGACCCCUAUGCGCAACGAAUUAUUGAAAUAAAAUUAAACCAUAUGUUAAUCCCGAAAUGACCUAGUUUGUGUCAAGUGGACGUUAAACCCCAUUUCUCUCUCUCUUGCUUUCGAUUCCGGGUUUGUACCCAAUUAUCCCUUGCCAUAUCCAACACUACUGACAAGUGGGAACUAUGCCGGAAAAUCCAGUUGAACUUUCUCGGCCAACACCUUAUACUCACUGAACCACUGUGGCUUAUGACUUGUGAUUGUAUAUAAAUUUUUUGUACAUAAGAUAUUUUUUUAUUUCAAUCCUGUAAUCUUGAUGCUUUGCUUCUUUUAUUUACAAAAUAUUCAUUUUGUUUGGGUUUUUUUUAAUGAGGAAAAGGUUUUACAUCAUUUUAUUACUCCUGCAAAAUAGUGCAUUUUUCUUUUGUUAGUUUUCUGUGUAUAUUAGUUAUUUCUAGAUGUCUCACAAAUCACUUGUAGUGUGAUUUUGUGGCACUUUUCAGUUUUUGAAAUUGUUUCAAUUUAGUGCAUAAUUAAUCUUAGUGCUUGGUUUCGAUGUUAUUAAAUUUAGAUAUAUUUGAAUUAUAUAUUUUGGAGUAUGGGGUAGGGAUACUGUGUACAUAUCUUUAUAUUCUCAGUUCUUGUUUUGUGGUGAAGAACAAUUUAUAUAGCUAUUUUAUAUUUUGUGAUAGGUAACGUGUGUGGGGUUAAGAACAAUUUAAAUAGCUAUGUUAUAUUUUGUGAUGGGUAAA